UCUUAACCAUUCUAUAGAAUCAGCACCCAUCUUUGAGUCAGAGUUUGAGAUGCAAAUCCUUUACUGUAUAGCCUUGAUCAAAUGACUUCACCUCAUUGAAUUAAUCUUCUUCUGCAUAAAAUGGGGUCACCAUCUGCUUAUCUAAAUUGUUACAAAUGGGACAGUAUAUGUGCCAUUCCAGAUACCUAAUCACAGCUCAAUCGAUGCUGGUGUCUUUUUCCUUUUUCCUUCUGCAGAAAACAUGCUUUACAUAGGAUCUCUGAACUUAAAGAAUGGGAAGAAGAAAAAUCAUGUUUCCAGCUUGGGCUGCUGUUUCAUCUGUUGGACUUGCUUAAAGCGUAUGGGUUUGUUUACCCUUCCUGCAGGCAUCCAACCUGGCCUUUUAUUCCUGCUCAAGUAGGACAUGCAGCCUGCUGGGGACCCGUGGCUCAAAUCCUCCAACUGCAGGACUGCCGGCCCUGGGACUCAUGAAUAAUGGAAGUGCAGUAACCACUCCUUACAGCCCAGACGACUUUCCAGGAGCAGGCUGUACCCCGAAAGUAAACAAGGAACAAGGGGCAAGGAGACAGAGAGAGAUGGGGAAAUAUCCUCACCAACAGCCCUGCUGCAGUGAAAACUGGAGGAUCCCUGAAUGGAAAGGAAUGCUAUGCACACUUUUUGGAUACAGGAAGUGAGAUUCAGAGGGGUUAAACAGCUUUCCUAAAGCCACACAGCGAGAGAGUCGAUCUGAACUGAAGAUUGUUUGACAUCAAAGCUCAUUUCUUUCCCUAAAUGUCAGCAUUCUUUCCUGACUUAUUAAUUUGAUUUCUGUCCUCCCCUCAUGGAAGUUAAUUAAAGGAAUGCGAGAACCUUUUAGAAAAUCUCCAGGGCAGCUUCUGUGUUGAUCAUUGUUUCACAAUCUCUUUUCCACCCA
rnacentral:lncRNA from 1 species